rnacentral:rRNA from 1 species
CACGUAGGAGGCGAGCGUUGUCCGGAAUCAUUGGGCGUAAAGAGCGCGCAGGCGGCUUGGCAAGUCGGGUGUGAAAUCCCGGGGCUCAACCCCGGGACUGCAUUCGAUACUGUCAGGCUAGAGGUAGGUAGGGGAGAUCGGAAUUCCUGGUGUAGCGGUGAAAUGCGCAGAUAUCAGGAGGAACACCGGUGGCGAAGGCGGUUCUCUGGGCCUUACCUGACGCUGAGGAGCGAAAGCGUGGGGAGCAAACAGG